GCCCCCUCCCUCCUGGCGUCCCCCCGCCCCGCCCCAGCAGCGCGCGGGCCCAGGGCCGGGGAGAGAGCAGGGACCCUCGAACUGCUCCCUGUGGGGAGUGGCGAAGGGGGGCGCUUUCGGAGCGUAGCACCCCCACCCCCCUCAUCCCCCCUCAUCCCCCCUCAUCCCCCCUCAACCCCCCUCAUCCCCCGCCCAGGGCUCGGGUGAAACUCGAUCCCCUCCCCCCCCCCGUGGGCGGGCUGGGUAGCAAAGGUUAGCUCCGCCCAACUCUGCGGGCAGGGCGGGGGAGGGGGCCCGGGGCGGCGGGGGGCCCGUGGGUAGGAAGAGCGUUUUUUGGGGGGGGGAGUAAGGGGAGGCUCCGGUCCCCAAAGAACCCCCACCCCCACCCCGAACGCACUGCCUGCUCGUUUCCCGCUCUCGAUCUCCCUGCGCGCCGGCUCCCAGGGUUCUGCGAGUCGGUGGCUGCCCCCGGUGUGUCCUGGGCUGCGUACCGGCCCUGCCCUCAGGGGACCCCCAGUUAGUCCUGCCGCAGACAGACGCCAUCAACCAACAUCCCAACACCGGAAACACUUGAGAGGGAGAGGACUCAUUGUCCUGGAAAUCUGGAGCCACAUAUAAUUCCUACACCUGCCCUGGACUCUGGGUUUCUUGGCAACCAAGGUUCCAGCUGCGUGCAUGGGGGAGCCGCUGGGGUCUCCGCAACCAGAGCAAGCUCGUUCAGCUAAAAGAGUGCCAGGGGACCAGGUUGGAGACCCGGACUCACGCAUGGCAGUGUCUUCUGACCGCUAAGAGCAAGCCUUGACCGCACAGACCUCUGCUGAAGCCCUACCUCCACCCCGCGCUGGCUGGAUGACCUUGGGCAGGUCACCUGCUCUGAGCCGCAGCGGGUAACCUUUCUUGAUAAAAAAAGGUUAUUGAUAUCACCUUCA